rnacentral:rRNA from 1 species
GAUGAACGCUGGCGGCGUGCCUAAUACAUGCAAGUCGAGCGAACAGACGAGGAGCUUGCUCCUCUGACGUUAGCGGCGGACGGGUGAGUAACACGUGGAUAACCUACCUAUAAGACUGGGAUAACUUCGGGAAACCGGAGCUAAUACCGGAUAAUAUAUUGAACCGCAUGGUUCAAUAGUGAAAGACGGUUUUGCUGUCACUUAUAGAUGGAUCCGCGCCGCAUUAGCUAGUUGGUAAGGUAACGGCUUACCAAGGCAACGAUGCGUAGCCGACCUGAGAGGGUGAUCGGCCACACUGGAACUGAGACACGGUCCAGACUCCUACGGGAGGCAGCAGUGGGGAAUCUUCCGCAAUGGGCGAAAGCCUGACGGAGCAACGCCGCGUGAGUGAUGAAGGUCUUCGGAUCGUAAAACUCUGUUAUUAGGGAAGAAAAAAUGUGUAAGUAACUAUGCACGUCUUGACGGUACCUAAUCAGAAAGCCCCGGCUAACUACGUG